ACUCCUACGGGAGGCAGCAGUGGGGAAUAUUGCACAAUGGGCGCAAGCCUGAUGCAGCCAUGCCGCGUGUGUGAAGAAGGCCUUCGGGUUGUAAAGCACUUUCAGUUGUGAGGAGGNGGGUGUCGUUAAUAGCGGGCAUCAUUUUGACGUUAGCAACAGAAGAAGCACCGGCUAACUCCGUGCCAGCAGCCGCGGUAAUACGGAGGGUGCGAGCGUUAAUCGGAAUUACUGGGCGUAAAGCGCAUGCAGGUGG
rnacentral:rRNA from 1 species